UGUCACUAGUGGACUUGGACUUGAGGCUGU
rnacentral:piRNA from 1 species